rnacentral:rRNA from 1 species
GACGAACGCUGGCGGCGUGCUUAACACAUGCAAGUCGAACGGUAAGGCCCUUCGGGGUACACGAGUGGCGAACGGGGGAGUAACACGUGGGUGAUCUGCCCUGCACUUCGGGAUAAGCCUGGGAAACUGGGUCUAAUACCGGAUAGGACCACUGCCUGCAUGGGUGGUGGUGGAAAGCUUUUGUGGUGUGGGAUGGGCCCGCGGCCUAUCAGUUUGUUGGUGGGGUGAUGGCCUACCAAGGCGACGACGGGUAGCCGGCCUGGGAGGGUGACCGGCCACACUGGGACUGAGAUACGGCCCAGACUCCUACGGGAGGCAGCAGUGGGGAAUAUUGCACAAUGGGCGCAAGCCUGAUGCAGCGACGCCGCGUGAGGGAUGACGGCCUUCGGGUUGUAAACCUCUUUCAGCACCGACGAAGCGCAAGUGACGGUAGGUGCAGAAGAAGGACCGGCCAACUACGUGCCAGCCGCCGCGGUAA